AUCUGGUUGAUCCUGCCAGUUGUCAUAUGCUUGUUUCAAGGACUAAGCCAUGCAAAUGUCAGAGUACUUGCGUUCUGACGCCGAGAGGUCUGUGUACGGCUCAUUAAACGGUUUAUUGUCUACCCAACGAAGAAGUGCCUUGUGCUCUUCCGAUGGGAUAACGAUUUCGAAAUGAAUCGCUAAUACCUGUCAGAAAAACCUCGCACCGUUCUAACAUCGAGUGGGAAACCAUUUGGUGUGGUGUGGGGUGCAAUUCGCCGAAACAAAAACCAACGUCCGCAAGGACAGUUGAGAUUGUUGAGGCAGGCGAAUGUUGCGAAAGCUCCGUUUUCGGAGCGAUGUUGGAUGAAUUUACCACCUAUCAGGUCGAAGGUAGUAUAGUUGACUACCUUGCCAGUGACGGGUAACGGAGAAUUGGGGUUCGAUUCCGGAGAGGGUGCCUGAGAAACGGCAACCAUCACUACGGUGAGCAGCAGGCGCGCAAAUUGCCCAAUGCUAAUACUAGCGAGGCAGCGACGAAAAAUAGCAACUCUGUUGCACAAUGUGUUUCAGAGAUUGCAAUGGAUUGUAUCCAAUACACACUGCUGAGUAUCAAUUGGAGGGCAAGUCUGGUGCCAGCAGCCGCGGUAAUUCCAGCUCCAAGAGCGUAUAUAAAUGUUGUUGCGGUUAAAAAGCCCGUAGUUGGAUUUGAGAAUACCACUGGUGUUUGCGCCCUUUGGAUCAGUUCAUCUGGUUCAUUGGAUCCCGCGAACACAUUAAGGUGGUGUUCUGUUCACAUGCGGGAAUGAUUGCCGGUUCAUUCUCUUCAUUGGGAAUGGACACCUACGGAGCAAAAACACUCCGGAAGGCACGCCCGCAGAUGUCACUGUGAGUAAAACAGAGUGUUCAAGGCAACCGACUUCGCUCGGUUGAAUGUUAAAGCAUGGAAUGACAAGGGAUCGACCACUGUGUGGCCUCUUUUUGUUGGUUUUCAAGCCUCAGUGCGGUAAACUUGUGCAGGGACACCCGUCUGGAACUACUUCGGUAUCCCCAGGCGAGCCCUCGCACUCACGGGAUCAACAGAAGCACAGGGGGUCAUGAGUACUGGAGGGUGAGCGGUGAAAUGCUGAGACCCCUCCAAGACUGACAUCAGCGAAAGCACUUGACUAUUGUGCUUUCAUUAAUCAAGGACGAGAGAUAGGGGAUCGAAGAGGAUUAGACACCCUCGUAGUCCUUUCCUUAAACUCUGCAAACUUGGGAUCGGUCAGCGCUCGCUUUUGACCCGAUCGGCACCUCCCCCUUGAAUCGAGAAAUCAAAGUCUUUGUGUUCCGGGGGGAGUACAUUCGCAAGGCUGAAACUUAAAGGAAUUGACGGAGAACCACCACCAGUCGUGGAUUGUGUGGCUUAAUUCGACUCAACACGGGAAAUUUUAGCUAUAUAGGACAAGGGCAGGAUUGCCAAGUCAAAGCCUUUGCUUGAUUCCUUGAAGGGUGGUGCAUGGCCGCUUCUGGUUGGUGAACGUGAUUUGUCUGCUUAAUUGCGAUAACGAACGAGAUCUCUGCCAACUACUAGAUGCUGCUUUCGCUGUAGGUUGGAGUCGGGAGGAUUGGGUUUCGGCCCGUCCUCUCCAUUCCACCGAGAAGGCAGGGCUUUCACUUAUUGGGAUUAUGCGUCUCUAAACGCAUUGAAACGAGAGCCCAAAGCAGGUCUGUGAUGCUCCUAAAUACAUAGCGCCGCACGCGCAAGACACUGACUCAGACAACAAGUUUCUGCUUGCAGCCUGGCCCGAAGGGGUUGGGGAAUCUUUGAGCCUGAGUCGUGAUGGGGAUUGAAGCUUGCAAUUAUUCUCCAUGAACGAGGAAUGUCUUGUAGGCGCGUUUCAUCAGAACGCACCGAAUACGUCCCUGGUUCUUGUACACACCGCCCGUCGUUGCCUGUAAUGGGUUGUGAGUAGAGCCUUCUGGAGAUUUCGCGGAGGGGCAACCCUCUGACGGAGUCAAAAUUGGGCAAUACUCGCAAUCUAGAAGAGGCAAAAGUCGUAACAAGGUUGCUGUAGGUGAACCUGCAGCAGGAUCAUU
rnacentral:rRNA from 1 species